CAAAAUCUGUCAAAUCUAGAACCAGAAGGUCGGCUGAACAAAUCCCGAGGCCUGAGUGCCUCCUUGGGACUCUCCCAUUCCCUCUCCUGACAUACUUACUCCGAGACUGCCAUCCCUCCUCUAGUCCACAUCCAUCUGAUCCUCCAUAUCCUCUGACAUCCCACCUUGAACUGUUCCCCUCACUGAUCUACUUUUGCUCAUAUCCAAAGACCUUCUAGGGUCUC
rnacentral:lncRNA from 1 species